AGUGAACGCUGGCGGUAGGCCUAACACAUGCAAGUCGAACGGCAGCACAGUAAGAGCUUGCUCUUACGGGUGGCGAGUGGCGGACGGGUGAGGAAUACAUCGGAAUCUACUUUUUCGUGGGGGAUAACGUAGGGAAACUUACGCUAAUACCGCAUACGACCUACGGGUGAAAGCAGGGGAUCUUCGGACCUUGCGCGAUUGAAUGAGCCGAUGUCGGAUUAGCUAGUUGGCGGGGUAAAGGCCCACCAAGGCGACGAUCCGUAGCUGGUCUGAGAGGAUGAUCAGCCAGACGGGAACUGAGACACGGUCCAGACUCCGACGGGAAGCAGCAGUGGGGAAUAUUGGACAAUGGGCGCAAGCCUGAUCCAGCCAUACCGCGUGGGUGAAGAAGGCCUUCGGGUUGUAAAGCCCUUUUGUUGGGAAAGAAAAGCAGCAGGUUAAUACCCCGCUGUUCUGACGGUACCCAAAGAAUAAGCACCGGCUAACUUCGUG
rnacentral:rRNA from 1 species